rnacentral:rRNA from 1 species
GAUGAACGCUGGCGGCGUGCCUAAUACAUGCAAGUCGAGCGAACGGACGAGAAGCUUGCUUUUCUGAUGUUAGCGGCGGACGGGUGAGUAACACGUGGAUAACCUACCUAUAAGACUGGGAUAACUUCGGGAAACCGGAGCUAAUACCGGAUAAUAUUUUGAACCGCAUGGUUCAUAAGUGAAAGACGGUCUUGCUGUCACUUAUAGAUGGAUCCGCGCUGCAUUAGCUAGUUGGUAAGGUAACGGCUUACCAAGGCAACGAUGCAUAGCCGACCUGAGAGGGUGAUCGGCCACACUAGAACUGAGACACGGUCCAGACUCCUACGGGAGGCAGCAGUAGGGAAUCUUCCGCAAUGGGCGAAAGCCUGACGGAGCAACGCCGCGUGAGUGAUGAAGGUCUUCGGAUCGUAAAACUCUGUUAUUAGGGAAGAACAUAUGUGUAAGUAACUGUGCACAUCUUGACGGUACCUAAUCAGAAAGCCACGGCUAACUACGUG